UGCCAAUGACGAGUAAAUGUGUAAGAGUAGUGGACAGAAGUGAUUUCUGAGCACUUUUUAAUCUGAGGUU